rnacentral:rRNA from 1 species
GACGAACGCUGGCGGCGUGCUUAACACAUGCAAGUCGAACGAUGAAGCCCAGCUUGCUGGGUGUGAGCGUGGCGCACGGGUGAGUAACACAUGAGUAUCCUGCCCUGUACUCUGGGAUAAGCACUCGGAACGGUGUCUAAUACUGGAUACGACCUAUCACCGCAUGGUGUGUGGGUGGGAAGAUUUAUCGGUUCUGGAUGGACUCGCGGCCUAUCAGCUAGAUGGUGAGGUAAUGGCUCACCAUGGCGACGACGGGUAGCCGGCCUGAGAGGGUGACCGGCCACACUGGGACUGAGAUACGGCCCAGACUCCUACGGGAGGCAGCAGUGGGGAAUAUUGCACAAUGGGCGCAAGCCUGAUGCAGCAACGCCGCGUGCGGGAUGACGGCCUUCGGGUUGUAAACCUCUUUUAGUAGGGAAGAAGCGAAAGUGACGGUACCUGCAGAAAAAGCACCGGCUAACUACGUG